AGUUACUAACUUUAAGAGCGCUGGACGCGUCAGCCGCUCGCAUAUGUCACCGUCAUUUGAAGCCUUUGACCACGGAUGUACUGGCACUGGCAAAAUGACUUCGGGAAGGUCGGUGCGUUUCGCCCCGGCCUUUUUUUAU
rnacentral:sRNA from 1 species